GACGAACGCUGGCGGCGUGCUUAACACAUGCAAGUCGAACGGAAAGGCCCCUUCGGGGGUACUCGAGUGGCGAACAGGUGAGUAACACGUGAGUAACCUGCCCUUGACUUCGGGAUAACUUCAGGAAACUGGGGCUAAUACCGGAUAGGAAUCCUUGCUGCAUGGUGGGGGUUGGAAAGCUUCGGCGGUUUUGGAUGGACUCGCGGCUUAUCAGCUUGUUGGUGGGGUAGUGGCUUACCAAGGCUUUGACGGGUAGCCGGCCUGAGAGGGCGACCGGCCACAUUGGGACUGAGAUACGGCCCAGACGCCUACGGGAGGCAGCAGUGGGGAAUAUUGCACAAUGGGCGGAAGCCGGAUGCAGCAACGCCGCGUGCGGGAUGACGGCCUUCGGGUUGUAAACCGCUUUCAGCAGGGGCGAAGCUUGUGGUGACGGUACCUGCAGAAGAAGCACCGGCUAACUACGUG
rnacentral:rRNA from 1 species